AGAGUUUGAUCAUGGCUCAGAACGAACGCUGGCGGCAGGCUUAACACAUGCAAGUCGAACGCAUCUCUUCGGAGGUGAGUGGCAGACGGGUGAGUAACGCGUGGGAACGUACCCUUUGGUUCGGAAUAACCCAGGGAAACUUGGGCUAAUACCGGAUACGCCGGAAACGGGAAAGGUUUACCGCCGAAGGAUCGGCCCGCGUCGGAUUAGCUAGUUGGUGGGGUAACGGCCCACCAAGGCGACGAUCCGUAGCUGGUCUGAGAGGAUGAUCAGCCACACUGGGACUGAGACACGGCCCAGACUCCUACGGGAGGCAGCAGUGGGGAAUAUUGGUCAAUGGGCGCAAGCCUGAACCAGCCAUGCCGCGUGAGUGAAGAAGGCCUUAGGGUUGUAAAGCUCUUUCAGCGGGGACGAUAAUGACGGUACCCGCAGAAGAAGCCCCGGCUAACUUCGUGCCAGCAGCCGCGGUAAUACGAAGGGGGCUAGCGUUGUUCGGAAUUACUGGGCGUAAAGCGCGCGUAGGCGGAUAUUUAAGUCAGGGGUGAAAUCCCAGGGCUCAACCCUGGAACUGCCUUUGAUACUGGAUGUCUGGAGUUCGGGAGAGGUGAGUGGAAUUCCGAGUGUAGAGGUGAAAUUCGUAGAUAUUCGGAGGAACACCAGAAGCGAAGGCGGCUCACUGGCCCGAUACUGACGCUGAGGCGCGAAAGCGUGGGGAGCAAACAGGAUUAGAUACCCCCGUAGUCC
rnacentral:rRNA from 2 species